AUCCAGCUGACGAGUCCCAAAUGGGACGAAACGUGCGUCCUGGAU
rfam:Schistosoma curassoni strain Dakar, Senegal genome assembly, scaffold: SCTD_contig0000030